GGUGCGCACGGCCGCGCGGUGGCUGGCGCCAGGGGUCGCGGGCGGCGGAGGCCAGCUCUCUUGCUCGCGGCUGCCGGCGCGCACCCGGGCGCAGUCCCGCGAGGGACGCGUGCGCGCGAGUGGGUAAGGCAGCAGCAGGUCAUCGUCGCGGGAAACCCUGCGGGGACGGGGCGAUCGUGAGCUCAAAGGGUUGUGCCAGAGAGCACGCAGGACAGGGGGACCCCAGCCAGCCGGCCCCGGCAGCUGCACUCACCCCGAGCCCAGGCUGCACCACGCCACUCCUAGCAAGCCGAGCAGCGAGGGCAGGAGGAGCAGCCCGCAUAUCCUGGGCGACGCCAUAUUGGAUUGGGACUCUGGUCACGUGGGCCCGCCCCAUGUGACUCCAGGCCAGCUGGUGUGUACUUUCAGACAUAAUUAGUUCAUAUGAGGUCUUCCUAGAGCUGAGCUGAGUGGAUUGCAAACCUCGUCUGACUGUUGUAUUGAGAAGAGGAAGCAAGGCCAUAUGCAGCAGCCGCUGGAGUGGGGCAGCCACAAGGCAAGUGAUACCUAAGAGGCUCCACAGCCUUAGACACUCAGAGGCAUGCAGCAGUCUCUGUUCUGUGGACUAAGCUCAGAUUCUUCUCCUGAGAUUUCAGAGAGAGCCUGGAUGGCUGACACACUGAUUCUUAGCUCAUACGGUGAAGGCCAGUGAAUGGCUUUUCACAAAUGAUGGAGGCCUGAAGUAGCCAUAGCUCACUCCAGUGAACACUGUUCAGAGAGGCUGCUCUUCUGGGAAAUGCAGUAUUAAAUGAUCUGGUUGCAUACCA